rnacentral:rRNA from 1 species
GACGAAUGCUGGCUGCGUGCUUAACACAUGCAAGUCGAUCGGUAACGCGGGGGCAACCCUGGCGACGAGAGGCGGACGGGUGAGGAACGCCUGGGAAUCUGCCUAUCAGCGGGGGACAACACGGGGAAACUCGUGCUAAUACCGCAUACGCUCUACGGAGGAAAGCCGGGGACCGCAAGGCCUGGCACUGAUAGAUGAGCCCAAGCCGGAUUAGCUAGUUGGCGGGGUAACGGCCCACCAAGGCGACGAUCCGUAGCUGGUCUGAGAGGACGAUCAGCCACACUGGGACUGAGACACGGCCCAGACUCCUACGGGAGGCAGCAGUGGGGAAUAUUGGACAACGGGGGAAACCCUGAUCCAGCGACGCCGCGUGGGUGAAGAAGGCCUGCGGGUUGUAAAGCCCUUUCGGUAGGGACGAAAGCUCUCGACCUAACACGUCGGGAGGUUGACUUAACCUACAGAAGAAGCACCGGCUAACUCUGUGCCAGCAGCCGCAGUAAAAC